rnacentral:rRNA from 1 species
ACAAUAAUGCUAGCUUAACUUUUAAACUUAAAUAACAAAUCACACUCAUUAAACUAAAACAUUCACCAUCCCAGUAUAGGCGAUAGAAAAGACAUUUAAUGCAAUAGACCAAGUACCGCAAGGGAAUGCUGAAAAAGAAAUUAAAAAACCCACAAAAGUAAUAAAAAGCAGGAAUUAAUCUCCGUACCUUUUGCAUCAUGAUUUAACAAGCCUAACCAGGCAAAAAGAUUUUUAGCCUGACCUCCCGAAACCAGACGAGCUAUUUUAAAGCAGCCUAUCAUGGGGCCCACCCGUCUCUGUAGCAAAAGAGUGGGGGGACUUUAAAAUAGAGGUGAUAUGCCUACCAAGCCUGGCGAUAGCUGGUUGCUCAAUAAACGAGUCCAAGCUCCGCUGCAACUCUUAUUACCAUAACUUUAUAUUAAACUAAAACUUAUCAGCCACUCAUAAGAGGUACAGCUCAUAUGAGACAGGAUACAACCUAACGCACUAGGUAAUGAUUAUAUUAUACAAGGAAUUUGAUGCCACAGUAGGCCUAACAGCAGCCACCUAUUUUAACCGCGUCACAGCAUGAACAUAAACCCACCCAACAAAUCCAAACCAUUUAUCAAAACCUAUAAAACCAAAUGAGCCAGCCUAUAAACCUAUAGUCCAGUUAAUGUUAAAACUAGUAAUAAGAAAGCACGACUUCCUCCACGCACCACUGUAAUUCAGACCAGACAAACCACUGAUAAUUACCGACCUAUUUAGCCGAAUUAACACUUAAACAAGAAACCUGCCUAAUGCAAUCGUUAACCCUACACAGGAGUGCCAACCAGACAGACCACAAGACAAAGAAGGAACUAGGCAAAUCACUUUAAAGCCUCGCCUGUUUACCAAAAACAUCACCUCUAGCUUAUACACAUAUUAGAGGCACUGCCUGCCCAGUGACAUUGAUUCAACGGCCACGGUAUUUUGACCGUGCAAAGGUAGCAUAAUCACUUGUUUUUUAAAUGAAGACCUGUAUGAAAGGCAAGACGAAAGCUUAACUGUCUCCUUUGUCCCAUCAACGAAACUGAUCUUCCUGUAAAAAAGCAGGAAUACGACCGUAAGACGAGAAGACCCUAUGGAGCUUAAGACUAAGGUAACUUUACUGCACGACACCAAUAAAGAUUUAUCCUAAUGUCUUCAGUUGGGGCGACUGCGGAGUACACAAACCCUCCGUGAACCACUCGCUAAUAAUACAAACCUAACGCACCAAGAUACCUUGGACAACUGACCCAAUAUAUUGAUUAACGAACCAAGCUACCCUAGGGAUAACAGCGCAAUCUUCUUUUAGAGACCUUAUCAACAAGAAGGUUUACGACCUCGAUGUUGGAUCAGGGUACCCAGACAAUGCAGCCGUUGUCAUCGGUUUGUUUGUUCAACAAUUAAAACCCUACGUGAUCUGAGUUCAGACCGGAGCAAUCCAGGUCAGUUUCUAUCUACAUAUUAAUUUAUCCUAGUACGAAAGGACCGGAUAAAAUAGGGCCAAUAUGCUUACACACGCCCUCACAAUAGCUAUGAAUACAACUCAAUUGCUACUACAUCUUGCACCCCAAGAUAAGGGGAAU